AUGGGACGCAGCCUGAUCCAGCAAUGCCGCGUGCAGGAUGAAGGCCUUCGGGUUGUAAACUGCUUUUGUACGGAACGAUAGGGCUCUGGUUAAUACCUGGGGCACAUGACGGUACUGUAAAAAUAAGCACCGGCUAACUACGUGCCAGCCGCCGCGAUAAU
rnacentral:rRNA from 1 species